CAGCCGCCGCGGGAAAACGUAGGUGGCAAGUGUUGUCCGGAAUUAUUGGGCGUAAAGGGCUCGCAGGCGGUUUCUUAAGUCUGAUGUGAAAGCCCCCGGCUCAACCGGGGAGGGUCAUUGGAAACUGGGAAACUUGAGUGCAGAAGAGGAGAGUGGAAUUCCACGUGUAGCGGUGAAAUGCGUAGAGAUGUGGAGGAACACCAGUGGCGAAGGCGACUCUCUGGUCUGUAACUGACGCUGAGGAGCGAAAGCGUGGGGAGCGAACAGGAUUAGAUACCCCAGUAGUCCCUGUCUCUUAUAA
rnacentral:rRNA from 1 species